UACGAAGGGGGCUAGCGUUGUUCGGAAUACUGGGCGUAAAGCGUGCGCAGGCGGCUUUGCAAGACAGAUGUGAAAUCCCCGGGCUUAACCUGGGAACUGCAUUUGUGACUGCAUGGCUGGAGUGCGGCAGAGGGGGAUGGAAUUCCGGCGUGUAGCAGUGAAAUGCGUAGAUAUGCGGAGGAACACCGAUGGCGAAGGCAAUCCCCUGGGCCUGCACUGACGCUCAUGCACGAAAGCGUGGGGAGCAAACAGG
rnacentral:rRNA from 1 species